AACUGUUAAAACUUAUUAUUUGGGUUUUGGACAGUGUCAAAGACAAUAUUCUAGAUGUGUCCCUAGGCAUUAAUAUAUAUGACGGAUGCUGAUUCAUAAUACACUCUUGCUAUGUCUUGUGACCUCCCGGUAGGAUUCUCCCUUCCUAAUUCAAAUCGAAGUAAAAUGCUUCCUCAGCCUGACAAGGAAAUGGACCUUCUCAUGGUUCUCAGGGAACUGUUCAGGGACUUAAUUUGUUAUCUGCCGCCUUCUUAAAAGCAAGCUCUGGCUGCAUGCAGGUUCCCAGUAGAUAACUUGUAAGGCUGUGUGGAAAUGCUUCGAAGGUAGUAAGAGAUUUCAAAAAGCAAAUAUAGAUGAUGUCCUGUACAUCCCUUAAGUAAAUAUGCCUGUGCUCUCUUUCAACAGGGCGCCUUGUCAGAGGGCUUGUAGGUGACUGUUACUUUUGAUGUGAACUGCUUGCAAUCAGCCGGGUAUGCCCGUGUCACGUGGAAGAAAGACAACCAGCAAGUGGCCAAGACAAGAGAGGCAGCAAAUGUCCCUACGAUCUACUGCAACAGAGCCCAUGUGUUCCCCAACGGCAGCUUGAGCCAUUGCCCCACGCGAUGGGGGGAUGAGGGAGAGUAUGUGGCAGAAGUAUGUGACCAGGAUGGUGUCCAUUUGCUUUAGGAAACUUUUAACCUGGAACCAGACAGUAGAACAAAAGGAGACGUUCAGAAGAAAUGCUGUUCGUGUACCGUUCCAUAUUCUCAUAGUAUCACUAGGAGUUGUAAUUAUUGCUGUCCUGGUUGCGCUGAUACGGCAUUUUCAGAAGCACAAAGACAGGUCAGAUGAGAGGGACAGUCCCGAGGAACGUGAAAAGGGAUGAAAACAGUCCUUGUUCAGGAACUCUCACGUGGUAGGAGUCGUUUCCACCCUGGCUCAGAGCCAGGCCAUCGCACGGUGUUUGGCACAUGUAGCUCAUCAGCCUGGAGACCCUGUCCCCUCGACACCAAGAUGUGAUCUGCGGGGAGCACAGGGAGCAGACCCUGCUGUCCCCUCUAGGCAAAUGAUGAAAAUCCUAGUGUGCAGGGACUAGAUGGUACAAACUCCACUGAGCAAAGGAGUAAAGAUUUGCUGAGAAGCAACAAAGAGGCUGACCCAGCAACA